rnacentral:rRNA from 1 species
UACAGAGGUGCCAAGCGUUAGGCGGAAUCACUGGGCUUAAAGCGCGCGUAGGCGGAUGUUUAAGUGUCUUGUGAAAUCCCGCGGCUCAACCGCGGAACUGCUUGGUAUACUGGGUCGCUUGAGUCAUCCAGGGGCAACUGGAACAAGCGGUGGAGCGGUGAAAUGCGUAGAUAUCGCUUGGAACGCCAAAGGUGAAAACAGGUUGCUGGGAUGUUCUGGACACUUGAGACGCGAAAGCCAGGGAGCGAACGGG